rnacentral:rRNA from 1 species
CAUGAAGCUGGAAUUGCUAGUAAUCACAGGUCAGCAUACUGUGGUGAAUACGUUCCCGGGCCUUGUACACACCGCCCGUCACACCAUGAGAGUUGAGAAUACCCGAAGCCCAUGUCAAAGUGGUCGAAGGUAGGCUUGAUGAUUGGGGUGAAGUCGUAACAAGGUAUC